rfam:Picea glauca, whole genome shotgun sequence.
AUGUACAUUCAUACAACAUAGAAUUAAUGAAACAUAUCCCAUUAGAACUCUGUAGUUAAGCACGCUCGUGCUAGAGUAGUACUGGGAUGGGUGAUCACUCGGUAAGUCCUAGUGUUUUACAUG